rnacentral:rRNA from 1 species
GGUUUGACGGUACCUUUAAAGGAAGCACCGGCUAACUCCGUGCCAGCAGCAGCGGUAAUACGGGGGGUGCAAGCGUUGUUCGGAAUUAUUGGGCGUAAAGCGCGUGUAGGCGGUCUGAUUAGUCCGAUGUGAAAGCCCUGGGCUCAACCCAGGAAGUGCAUUGGAUACUGUCAGACUUGAAUACGGGAGAGGGUAGUGGAAUUCCUAGUGUAGGAGUGAAAUCCGUAGAUAUUAGGAGGAACACCGGUGGCGAAGGCGGCUACCUGGACCGAUAUUGACGCUGAGACGCGAAAGCGUGGGUAGCAAACAGGAUUAGAUACCCUGGUAGUCCACGCCGUAAACGAUGAGAACUAGGUGUCGCGGGUA